rnacentral:rRNA from 1 species
GUGCCAGCAGCCGCGGUAAUACAGAGGUCCCAAGCGUUGUUCGGAUUCACUGGGCGUAAAGGGUGCGUAGGUGGCCAGGUAAGUUUGAUGUGAAAGCUCGGAGCUUAACUCCGAAAUGGCAUUGAAUACUAUCUGGCUUGAGGGUCGGAGGGGAGACUGGAAUUCUCGGUGUAGCAGUGAAAUGCGUAGAUAUCGAGAGGAACACCAGUGGCGAAGGCGAGUCUCUGGACGACAUCUGACACUGAGGCACGAAAGCUAGGGGAGCAAACAGGAUUAGAUACCCCUGUAGUCC